rnacentral:rRNA from 1 species
UUUUAUUUGAGAGUUUGAUCCUGGCUCAGGAUGAACGCUGGCGGCGUGCCUAACACAUGCAAGUUGAGCGAUUUACUUCGGUAAAGAGCGGCGGACGGGUGAGUAACGCGUGGGUAACCUACCCUGUACACACGGAUAACAUACCGAAAGGUAUGCUAAUACGGGAUAAUAUAUUUGAGAGGCAUCUCUUAAAUAUCAAAGGUGAGCCAGUACAGGAUGGACCCGCGUCUGAUUAGCUAGUUGGUAAGGUAACGGCUUACCAAGGCGACGAUCAGUAGCCGACCUGAGAGGGUGAUCGGCCACAUUGGAACUGAGACACGGUCCAAACUCCUACGGGAGGCAGCAGUGGGGAAUAUUGCACAAUGGGCGAAAGCCUGAUGCAGCAACGCCGCGUGAGUGAUGAAGGCGUUAGGGUC